rnacentral:lncRNA from 1 species
AAGAAGAAGUAACAGCUAAUGGAGAAUGGUAAGGUUGAGAAGGAGUAGAAAGAGAUGAUUGUGCAAGCCUGUAAAGACCAUCAUCCAAUUUACCAAUUUCCAGUGGCCUCUUCAGAGAAGGGGUCUGUAUUAGACAAGAAAAUUUAGUAAAUAGGAUAAUAGAAUUCAACUGUUGAACAAGCUUGGAAACAGAAAUCAGAUUGUAUUGAAAACUGGGAAUGUAUAGGACAUGAUGUAAAGUGAA